AUGGCAGAGUUUAAGCACAUUCAGGACUCCAGCAGCAGCUCACAGAACAACUUUUACUGUGUACUAAAUGAGGACAUUAACAAGAAACCAUCACACACAUGGAAAGGUCGCAUUUGGAAUAAACAGUUUUGCUUUCUUCUGAUGUGUGGCAGUGUCAUACUCUUCAUGGCUCUGUUGAUCACAGUAUCUGUAAAAUUGCAGCACCAAUACAGUAAACUGACCGAGGUAGAGAAUGAAGUGGCCAAUCUGACUUCUUCUUUAGCUUUGCUUUCUUCAAACCAACAAGACACAUGUGAGAUUUUACAUUAAAGGGAUACUCCACCCCAAAAUGAAAAUUUUGUCAUUAAUCACUUACCCCCAUGUCGUUCCAAACCAUAAAAGCUUUGUUCGUCUUCAGAACACAAUUAAAGAUAUUUUGGAUUAAAACCUGGAGGCUUGAGACUGUCCCAUAGACUGCCAAGUAAAAUACAUUGUCAAGGUCUAGGAAAGUAAGAAAAGCAUCGUCAGAAUAGUCCAUCUGCCGUCAGUGGUUCAAUUGUAACGUUAUGAAGCGAC
ensembl:lncRNA